rnacentral:rRNA from 1 species
CUACAAGAUGGACCUGCGUUGUAUUAGCUAGUAGGUGAGGUAACGGCUCACCUAGGCGACGAUACAUAGCCGACCUGAGAGGGUGAUCGGCCACACUGGGACUGAGACACGGACCAGACUCCUACGGGAGGCAGCAGUGAGGAAUAUUGGUCAAUGGGCGAGAGCCUGAACCAGCCAAGUCGCGUGAAGGAUGACUGUCUUAUGGAUUGUAAACUUCUUUUAUACGGGAAUAACAAGAGCCACGUGUGGCUCCCUGCAUGUACCGUAUGAAUAAGCAUCGGCUAACUCCGUGCCAGCAGCCGCGGUAAUACGGAGGAUGCGAGCGUUAUCCGGAUUUAUUGGGUUUAAAGGGUGCGUAGGCGGCCUGUUAAGUCAGCGGUGAAAUCUAGGAGCUUAACUCCUAAAUUGCCAUUGAUACUGGCGGGCUUGAGUGUAGAUGAGGUAGGCGGAAUGCGUGGUGUAGCGGUGGAAUGCAU